CGAGCGAUUCUCUUCGGAGAAGAGCGGCGGACGGGUGAGUAACGCGUGGGUAACCUGCCCUGUACACACGGAUAACAUACCGAAAGGUAUGCUAAUACGAGAUAAUAUGCUUUUAUCGCAUGGUAGAAGUAUCAAAGUUUUUGCGGUACAGGAUGGACCCGCGUCUGAUUAGCUAGUUGGUAAGGUAAUGGCUUACCAAGGCGACGAUCAGUAGCCGACCUGAGAGGGUGAUCGGCCACAUUGGAACUGAGACACGGUCCAAACUCCUACGGGAGGCAGCAGUGGGGAAUAUUGCACAAUGGGCGAAAGCCUGAUGCAGCAACGCCGCGUGAGCGAUGAAGGCCUUCGGGUCGUAAAGCUCUGUCCUCAAGGAAGAUAAUGACGGUACUUGAGGAGGAAGCCCCGGCUAACUACGUGCCAGCGGCCGCGGUAAUACGUAGGGGGCUAGCGUUAUCCGGAAUUACUGGGCGUAAAGGGUGCGUAGGUGGUUUCUUAAGUCAGAGGUGAAAGGCUACGGCUCAACCGUAGUAAGCCUUUGAAACUGGGAAACUUGAGUGCAGGAGAGGAGAGUGGAAUUCCUAGUGUAGCGGUGAAAUGCGUAGAUAUUAGGAGGAACACCAGUUGCGAAGGCGGCUCUCUGGACUGUAACUGACACUGAGGCACGAAAGCGUGGGGAGCAAACAGGAUUAGAUACCCUGGUAGUCCACGCCGUAAACGAUGAGUACUAGCUGUCGGAGGUUACCCCCUUCGGUGGCGCAGCUAACGCAUUAAGU
rnacentral:rRNA from 1 species